rnacentral:rRNA from 1 species
CCGGGUGAUAGGCCGGGUGUGUAAGCGCAGCGAUGCGUUGAGCUAACCGGUACUAAUGAACCGUGAGGCUUAACCUUACAACGCCGAAG